rnacentral:rRNA from 1 species
UACGUAGGGUGCAAGCGUUGUCCGGAAUUUAUUGGGCGUAAAGAGCGUGUAGGCGGCUUGGUAGGUCCGCUGUGAAAACUCGAGGCUCAACCUCGAGACGCCGGUGGAAACCAUCAGGCUAGAGUCCGGAAGAGGAGAGUGGAAUUCCUGGUGUAGCGGUGAAAUGCGCAGAUAUCAGGAAGAACACCCGUGGCUAAGGCGGCUCUCUAGUACGGUACUG